AUGAUCCACACUGGAGAGAAGCGAUAUGACUGCCUUUCAUGUGGGAAGAGGUUCACUCAUUUAUCUGAUUUAAUUGUUCACAGGAAAAGUGUAUGUCUGAAGAUCCACUGAACAAGACCCAAUAACAGUAAAUGAGAGCACGUAAACCUCAUCCAAAGAUGUCACGGUGAAUUUGACAGAAGAGCGGGCUUCUAGCAGCAAUGGCCAGCAACAGCUCGUUUACUGGAUCUAACAGUGGUUUUGGGGCACUGCGAGACCGUGAUCACCUGGACACAUCUCCUUCCACGGAAGAGAAGCACAAAAGGAGAUUGCUCGUCUGACAAAAGAAAAUGAAAAUGUAAGAAGUCGGCAGUUUUGUCUAGAAAGAUUCCAGUGUGAGCCCAAGCCAAUCAUGUUUUACACCGGAUUUAAAGAUUAUGAAACCCUCAAAGCACUCUACCAGUCUCUUCGACCUACAGCACAGUCUCUGGUGAGAUGGACUCAAAUGCAAAGACUUAAUAAAGGUCAACCAGAUGAGGACUGUUUGUGCUCUAUUGACACAUUUCCAAGGACCUCUAUUUUAAAUAAGUAGCUCACUCAGAAAUGAAAAUGUGCUCACCCUCAGGCCAU